rnacentral:lncRNA from 1 species
AUAAAUCUUACACCAUGUUCUGAGUAUUUCCCUCUCAGGUGGCAUCUCUUUGGAGUCUGGCUCAGGUCACCCAGCCACUCUGUGACUUUCCCUUCUACCUCCUGGUCAGCAAGAGAUGGAUCCUGGCUAAUUUCCCAGAGAAAAGUGUUAUCAUUAGAAUUUGUUGUACCAUCGCAUCUAGUAAACUUUCUUUGCCCAAUUUAUUUCAUCCUUGCCUAAAGCUAAAAUAUUUUGUUAAAAAAAAAAGAGUGAACAUUUUUGCCUUUUUCUGCAGUUGGAGGAACACUGAAUUUCACACUCUGCAUUUGCAAAUGAAGUCAUUAUAGAAAGAGUAAACCUCUAUUAGUUGUGGGUGGCUUGUUAGUACCUAACUAGUUGUCUAGGCUGGGGGCAAGUGUGAAUUUCAUUAAUUUCUCUGUGCUUUGGGAUUUGGCUUGAACUCAGUGGUCCUUCUCGAAUGAACUCUUGUAAAAGCUUUAAUUAACUCUUGCCAGUGUCAAUUUGUUUUGUUGUUUUCCACAGCCUGCAGACUUCCCCUGGUGACCAAUUUACUUGGAUGUUUCCAGGCUGUCAAAGGAAGGCUGGCACCGUGCUGUCACAUAGGUGUGGUUGCUUUAUGGGCUCUGGCUCAAGGCAAUUCCUCUCCAUCAGAAGAGAUGUGGACUGCUCUUUCAUGGGGAGAACCCCAAAAUUUCCAUCAGAACCUGCUGUAUCAGAAAUGAAGGGACUGAGCUUGGAGAUACAAUAUUGGCUGUGGCUUUGAGGGCCCAGAUAUGGACUCUGCAGACCCCAGAUCACUGCUUGGAAGCUGUGGGGACUGAGCAGGAAUGCUGCCCCAGAGAGGGCAGCCCAGGGCAUAUUCAUGGGCCACUAAUGGAUAUUGGGCUGCUGACUCCCAUUGUUGGGCCAGGGUCUGUGUCUGCCUGAACUCAUGGGGUUGGAGCAAGAAAAGAGAUUUUCUGUCUUGUGCCUCCAUCCAUCGCAGGGAGAAAACACUUCACCCUGCAACCCUUCCACAGGUCACCUGUUUGCAUUCCUACUUCUCUGUCUCCCUGUUUGAAGUCACCAGCUUCAAGAACCAGGGAGAACCAGGGGCUGGUAGGUAAAUACCCCCUCCUUUCUGCAGGACACUCUGAGGGUCACCCUCCAUGAUAUCAGAGCCUCCUUCAGGAUGGAGUCAGUGGCCCGUGGAGUCAUCUCCCCACCAAAGACCUUUCCUUCUGGUCUUUGGGAACAAAGAAAGAUAAAGGUUUUGGGGUGGAAUAGGGGUAAGGCAUGGAGGGACCUAAGGCUCUGGAGAAAAUGAGAAAGAGAAAGAGAAAUUCAUUAAAUCCAAACUUGUGCACAUAGUAUUCAAAAUCUAGGUCAUAACUCUGGCCAGGGAAGCACCCGGGGCCAGGAAGCAUCUGGGGCCAGGAAGCACCUGGCAGGUAGUCACUGCACAGAGGAAUGAAAUGGCAGCUCCAAAAGGCUGAAGGGUCCAGGUCUGUAGGCGGGUGCACCUUGGCUCACCCUGGCUUCCCUUUAACUCUGAAUCCAAAUGGAUUCAAAUGUGGCCUUUGAGGCUAGCUUGUUUCCAGUGAGAUAAAAUUUAGAUACAGUGAAAUCUACACUGUGAAUAAAAGAUCCCAGGAGUACAUUGGUUCAUUCAUUAAGGCCGUGGAUAGAGCUCUAAUUCCUUCUUUUGUAUUGCUGCAUAAUAUUUCACAGAAUGAUAAUAGCAUACUUUAUUUAUUUAACCAUUUCUCUUUUUAAAGAUUUGUCUCUGUUUAUUUUGUUGGGUAUUCAGGUUCUUCCCAGUUUCUUGCUGUCUCAAGCUAUGCUGAAAGCUAGCCUGCCUGUGAGCCACACUCACAGAUCUUUGAAUUCUGUUACUUGAUUCCCUGUGGGAUAAAUUCCCAGUGUGAGUGGGUUGGAGUGUGUGCAUUUUGAAACUCAAAGGCUGUUGAGAUUUCUUCCCCCCAGGCUGUAGGACUUCAUGGUUCCAGCCCACCAUAGAUAACCCAGAGUAUCUGUCCCGAGUAUUUCUUGGCCCUGGUGUCCUCAUUAGCUUAUUUUUUUCAGCCUGAUGGUGGUAAAAGUCUUACAUAUCUUUUCCUGUUAACUCAUUUAAAAAACUAAUUUGUAAAAUUGUCUACAUGAUUUUUUUUUCUGCCUAGAAAUAUGUUUUUUUCCUUCAAUAAAACCCAGCCUCGCUUUAUUCUGUACAGCAUUCUUGCUUGCUCUUUACCUUGCCAUUUCUUGAAGGAUGUGUUUCAAGCAUUUGUCAAGCAAUUUCCUGGUAGAUCCUGGCUUCCCACUUGUUAUUUUUAAUAUUUUCAGUGAAUUCUGACUCUUUCCACAUGUAUUUUCCUCACAUCUUCAGGCCCUGUUUGGAAGUGCUGUGAGCUCUGCUUGCGAAUUCCCUGGGAGGUCAGAGCAUCAGGUGGGUUUCUAGACAAGAUUUCCAUCCCAGCUUACUUCAGGGGAAUCUCUUCAUUUUGUAUCUGUGUCCAGUGUUCUGAACAUGGUUUAUUUUACAGAACAGAGCUGUUAUGUAUUGAAUAUGAGGUGUCUCCCCAAAGCUCCUGUGUUAAUGUGGGAAUGUUUGCAGGUGAAAUGGUUGGAUUCAGAGAGCUGUAACUUAGUCCAUCCUAGUUUGAGUGACUGACUCGGUGGUAGGUAGGUGGUGGGGCAUGGCUUGAGGUGGUGUGCCCUGGAAGCUUCAUUUUCCUUGUGACCCCUUCCCCCUUAGCUUCCUGGAUGCCAAAGGGGGAGCAGCUUCUCUCUGCCACACCCUUCCCUCAUAAUGCUCUUCCUUACCUUGGGCCCUGAGCAGUAGAAUCUGCCAUCUAUGGACUGAGACCUCUGAAGCUAUGAGCUCUAAAUAAACUUUUCCUCCUCUAAGUUGUCUUGUCAGGUAUUCUGGUUGCAGCAAUGCAAAGCUGAAUAAAACAUGAGCCCAGCUGGGUUCAAGUGCAUCCUGAUUGAACCUGAACCUCCCUCUGCAAUGACUCUAGCUGGUUUCCUUUUUCUUUUUCAUUUUAGAAUGUUUUAUUUUUGUUUGAUGUACAAUAAUUGUCCAUAUUUAUGGGGUACUGGGUGAUGGUCGAGUCAGGGUAUUUAGUGUCUCUAUCACCUCAAACAUUUCUCAUUUCUUUGUGGAGAUGUAACAGGGGUCCACUUUAUCCUUUAAAUAUAAAAGUUGCUGCUCAACCACUGGUGACUUAUUUUAAAACACAUUUUC